rnacentral:rRNA from 1 species
AACGAACGCUGGCGGCGUGCCUAACACAUGCAAGUCGAGCGAGAAAAGGGGAGCAAUCCCCUGAGUACAGCGGCGCACGGGUGAGUAACACGUAGGUGAUCUCCCCUCGAGCCCGGAAUAACCUACCGAAAGGUGGGCUAAUACCGGAUAUGACCACGGGAGUUUCGGCUCCUGCGGUGAAAGAUGGCCUCUACCUGUAAGCUAUCACUCAAGGAUGAGCCUGCGGCCAUUAGCUAGUUGGUGAGGUAACGGCGUCACCAAGGCGAUGAUGGCUAGCUGGUCUGAGAGGAUGGCCAGCCACACUGGGACUGAACAACGGCCCAGACUCCUACGGGAGGCAGCAGUGGGGAUAUUGCGCAA